CAUCGCUCAACGGAUAAAAGGUACGCCGGGGAUAACAGGCUGAUACUGCCCAAGAGUCCAUAUCGACGGCAGUGUUUGGCACCUCGAUGUCGGCUCAUCACAUCCUGGGGCUGUAGCCGGUCCCAAGGGUAUGGCUGUUCGCCAUUUAAAGAGGUACGUGAGCUGGGUUUAGAACGUCGUGAGACAGUUCGGUCCCUAUCUGCCGUGGGUGUAGGAUACUUGAGAGGAGUUGCCCCUAGUACGAGAGGACCGGGGUGAACGAUCCACUGGUGGACCAGUUGUCGUGCCAACGGCAGUGCUGGGUAGCUAUGAUCGGACAGGAUAACCGCUGAAGGCAUCUAAGCGGGAAGCCCCCCUCAAAACAAGGUCUCCCUGAGGGCCGUGGAAGACCACCACGUCAAUAGGCCG
rnacentral:rRNA from 1 species